GCUCGGGUGGUGAAAUUGGCAGACACGCUGGAUUUAGGUUCCAGUGCCGCAAGGCGUAAGGGUUCAAGUCCCUUCCCGAGCA
rnacentral:tRNA from 1 species